UACAUAUAGUUAUACAAAAUAGAGGAAGAGAUAAUAAUAUGGAGAAUUAUAACCAUCAUAGGAUUAUUAUGUUUUAUGAAUAAAAUUUUUGAAAAAAAAAAAAAUUUUUACAACCAAGUAGUUACGAUUUUACUCUCAAAAAUAGCUAUUUGGAAUAAUAUUGGAGAAAAAUUGAAAAAAAAAACAAAUACUCAUAAAUUAUAGGAAAAAGCAAGAAAAUAAAAAAUUGAAGAAAAGAAGCUAUGGAACUAAACAAAAUGGUGAUUUAUAAAACGAUUAAUAAUAAUAAAUUUAAAAAUUUAACACAACAUGGAGAGUAUAACAUUAUGUAUACAGGAUAAAAUAUAAAGAAUUUGAAAAAUUUACUUAAAUUAAUUCCAUAAAAAAUAAACAAAAAUUUUGGUUAAAUACACGAAAAAAAGGAAAAACAUUUAAAAAAAUUUUAAAAAUCAAAGAAAAACAAAACGAAAACAACGUAUAAAGCAAACAAAACCAAAAAUAAUAAUUAAAAAAUUAAUGCUGAAAAUUUAACAAGAAAAAUUCAAGUAUAACACACAAUAUUCAUAUAUAAUCUAAAUGUAAAUUAGUUUUAAAAAAUAAUAGUUAUAAUGUAGUCAAACAAAUAAAAGAAAAAGCAUAGUUAUAUUUUCUAUUUCAGUAGUGUUAAAAGACAUUAAAAAAUAAAAAAAAAUAUAUAAGUUCUUUUCAUUCUUCUUAAUUAAAUUUAGCAAAAAAAAAAUUUAUAAUUAAAAAAAAAAUGUAAAAAAUGUAUGAAAAUUUUUAAACAAAAAUAAAAGUUUUACAGGUCGGAAUAAACGGGUAACAAAAUAAAAAAAAUAUUAAUAAAAACGAUUCCGUAGCGUCACAAAUGACACACUGGCGGAGAAAAUCAAAACUAAAUAUAUGACAAACACUAUAAAUAUCGCAUUUAAUUAAAUAAAUACACAAUCUCUUUCUCUCGG